ensembl:snRNA U6 U6 spliceosomal RNA
GUGCUAACUUUGGCAGCAUGUGUACUGAAAUUGGAACGAUACAGAGAAGAUUAGCAUGGCCCCUGCACAAGGAUGGCAUGCAAAUUUGUGAAGCAUUCCAUAUUUUU